AUUGAACGCUGGCGGCAGGCCUAACACAUGCAAGUCGAACGGUAGCACAGAGGAGCUUGCUCCUUGGGUGACGAGUGGCGGACGGGUGAGUAAUGUCUGGGAAACUGCCCGAUGGAGGGGGAUAACUACUGGAAACGGUAGCUAAUACCGCAUAACGUCUUCGGACCAAAGUGGGGGACCUUCGGGCCUCACACCAUCGGAUGUGCCCAGAUGGGAUUAACUAGUAGGUGGGGUAAUGGCUCACCUAGGCGACGAUCCCUAGCUGGUCUGUGAGGAUGACUAGCCGCACCGGAACUGAGACACGGGCCAGACGCCUACGGGAGGCAGAAGUGGGUACUCUUGCACAAUUGGCGGAAGCCUGAUGAAGCCAUGCCGCGUGUAUGAAGAAGGCCUGCGGGUUGUAAAGUACUUUCAGCGGGGAGGAAGGCUUUAAGGUUAAUAACCUUGGCGAUUGCCGUUACCCGCAGAAGAAGCACCGGCUAACUCCGUGCCAGCAGCAGCCGCCG
rnacentral:rRNA from 1 species